GAGUCCGGACUCCCAGCCCCCCUCUAACCCACCCCACUCCCUUCUUGGAGAACCCAGGUGUCCUGAUCCCCUAGCCAUCCCAACUCACUGAACCCCAACAGUGUGAGAGAAACACAAGACAGACCUGAUGGUGAAAGCGAUACACAGAAGAAAGGAAAGAUAUUCAGACACAAACAGAGAAGCGCAGGGCCAGAAGGGUGAGUGGGGGACCACUAGUUACACUAUAUAAGGGGGGAGGAGCAACCUUUUCAGCUCAAGAACCCCUUUCUUGGCGUUAGCUGGGGUAAGGAGGUCUCACCCCCCCAUUAAUCCAGUAUGUGAUCCCCCCUCCCCAGUCAAUACCCCACCUGUAUGAAAAGCUAUAGAGAGAACGGUGGGGAAGGCCCGGCCCUGAUUCCAUCUCAUGAUGCUCAGCCAAGGCAGGUAUGAAAUCGGGCUGACAGGGUCUGCACACUUGGUCCGAACAGCGGCACGGGGUGGGCCACGCCGGGGCCCACAAGGGUCAGCUGGAGAGGAAGAAGUGCCAGGACCCAGUUGAGGACAGGGAGAGGUGAAGGAAGAGAAAGCGGCAGGGAGCAGAAGAGAGACUGAAAAGUACCGUGAGCCAUUGAGAGCUGGAGAGAGCUAGGCAGAAAGAUGGAGAGGAAGUUCUAGCGAGUUGAAGAGAGUCAGAUAGAAAGUUGUCGAGAGCCAGACAGUUGGCCAGAGCCAGCGAGAAAGUUGGGGAGAGCCCAAGAGGAAGUUGUUCGGAGUGGCAGCGCGGCAGACGGAAAGGUGCGGAGAAAACUGUAGCAAGCGAACACAACAAAAAGCCACCACAGAAACCAUGAGAACGAAAGGAAAACAGACAACAGACGACAGAUGAGAGCAGAACACAAGGCAGCGGAAUAAAGGGCACACACCACAAUCUCAAACCAGGGGACAAGGAAGUUCAACCUGAUAUUUUUAAGCCACAAUUGUGCUAGAUUUGACUGCACGUUAUCUCUGGGUACAUCCAGACUACCUGGCGGAUCGGCAGUAGUGAUUGAUCCCCGAAUGUGCUCCCGUUGACUCCGGAACGCCAUGAGAGGCCAUCGAUCCCACGCCGUGAGGACGGGAGUGUAGACCAGGCCUCCAAGAGGCAAAAGGAGCCCCUGCGGCUGAGAGGUGAAACCAAAUUCAGACUGGGAACAAGGGAAACAUUUUUCACGGCAGGAUGGCCAACUCUGGAGAUUUUCGUUGCCGCUCUCACGAGAGCUGGCACUCGUUCUAAAGCCCCGGUGUCCUGUGAUGACGGGGGAAUCUCAGCUGUCAAAUUGUUGUUUAAAAUCCAAGUUUUGAGUUGACAGACACGCUCCAAAGUGCAGUGUUAGCAAAAUGGAAGGCCAAUAACCUAACAUUUGGUAUAUUUUAAAGCUGAUCUCAUGGACUUUCAAGGCUCAGCGUCAGCAACAUGAAAGAUGCAACAGAUUCUCAAUAGCUUGGCAUCAUUUAGCUUGACGUUGGCUGUGUCUCCACGGGCUACCCUCUUGCUCAAACUCAAGGUAAUGCAGAAAUCAUGGGGGGAGGGGGUGGGCAGGGAAAUUCUCUGGGUUGUGUCAGACUGGAUGAUCUCUUCAGGCCUUUAAUGUCUAAUGAAAUGAAACUUCUUCAGUCUGCAUAUACACAAUCAAACUAUCUGAAAAGCCUGGCUGGUGAGUCUACGUUAGCAAAACCACGCCUGGAGUUAAAAGAUCUGGGUUGUUUUAAACCAUUGCCUUGCUAAAGAUGUGCUUUAUAGAAAUGUAAAUCACGGGGUAAAGUUCAGGGUGAAACUCUCUGGCUCGUGCUAUGCAAGAGGACAGAUUAGAUAGCCCACUUGAGGGGGGAAGGCUUAGCAGUUAGGCGCUGGCUUUAAUGAAGCACAUUAGGACAGACAUUGAAAGCCGGAAGAAUCGGACAAUUCAUUUGCUUUCGAAUGAACAAAAAAGAGAAAGACUUCAAACAAAUAGAUUAAAAAAAUCAGAAGCAAACGCCCAGAAGUGACUCUCCAACACUCCGUGACCAGGCUGGGGGUUGGAGGGAAAAGCGCAUUCAGAGGGAAAAAAGCAACUCAGCAGGCAAAAGGCAAUGACCAUCGGGUUCCUCAGUUAAUAUUUACACACAGGAGAAGGGAUGGAAAGAACAAAUGGCAAAACAGACCCAGAGGAAGGGAAGGGGAGCGGGGGUGGGGUGUUCCUGUUAACGAAUGGGGCCUGGGAUCCUGCUGAAACUGACUUGCCCAUUGAAACGGAUGGGGCUGUGAAAGCCUUUAAGUUGAUGCACCUGCUUAAAUCUGAAGCCACGCCCUGUUCUCGUUAAGUCCUUCGCUAAAGCAAGCUGGCCCAUGGACCCCGACGGAUCGAUGCCCGGCCCAGAUUUACACGAAGCAGCCAAGGGCUCACUGAGUCCGAUCCGAAGGCAGAGACGCUCCGAAAGGAAGCGGUGGAUUGGCCUGAAACAUCAGCUCUAGACUGGCCGCGCCAGCCAGCCCCAGGUUUUUAGGCUCCAGGCAGGGAUCAGAUGAGACACUUGAAAUCCCAUUGACUUUUCCUGCUAGUCGGCAGGUCGGCAUCUCAAAGGCAGGCUCACGUGUCGUGCUGAGCAGGGAUGGAUUUGGGCGCACAGGACUGGAGAGGCGACGGCAGCAAAUCCAUCCCAUACGUGCUCUGGUCGAAUCAGCGCCCGCACGCACAAAGGCGAUGCCUGUCAUGUGUUUAUAAAAUCCAGAUCCUCGACUGUGGUUCCACUCAUUUCCACGGACAUCAAGGAAGUCAGGAGCCUAAAUAGCGUUGAUGAUCGGGGCCUAGCACAGCCAUCGCGGUCAUCCGCACGCUGGCUGCUUUGUUAAAUCCAGGGCCGCACAGAGAUCUGUUGGUGUUCAUGGGCGCGCCUCACAUGGAUGAGGUGACGGGGUUGGGAGGGUGUCUCCUGCAGGGGUCAGUCCUGGGUCCGGUAUCAGCCCAGCUGACAUUGUCGCGAAUGACUUGGCUAAUGGAGUGGAGAGUGUGCUAUUCAAUUUGCAGAUGACCCGAGCAGGGAGGAGUGGAGGACAGGAUUCAAAUUCAAAACGCCCUUGACAAAUUGGAGAAUUGGUCUGUAGCCAUCACCGGGAGGUUCAAUACAGACACGUUCAAAGUCCUUCACUCAGGAAGGAAAAAAUCAAACACACCGCUACAAAACGAGGACUAAGUGGGUAGGGGGUCAGAUGGCUGGAAAGGCUCUGGCGGUGACAGUGGGUCACAAAUUGGAGCUGAAUCAGCAAUGGGAUGUAUUUUUGAAAAAAGGCAAAUGACGAAUAUCAUUCUAGGGUGUAUGAACAUGCGUGUCAUAGGUACAUGCAUGUCGUAGGUACAUGUGUGUCUUAGGUAAGACACGGAAGGUGAUUGUCCCGCUCUGCUCGGGCCUCAGCUGGAGUCCUGUGACUUUAGGCCAGACGGGGACAAAUUGCAGAGAGUCCAGAGGACAGCAACAGAAGUGAGAAAAGGUUUAGAAAACCUGACUUACGAGGGAAGGUUACGGGGUUUGUGGAGUGGAAUCCUCCACCCUCGAUCCUCAGGGGGAAGGAUGCUGGUUCUUAGGGCGCUCCCGGGGGGCCUGGCUGAGCUCGGGGCUAGAGAAGAGGGGUGAUAUAUUCUUCUCCCAGUAGGUGGAAUUAUAUCUGCCCUGCAUAUACCCUGUCCAUGAGGAAUGAAAGCAGCUCUCCACCUUCACAGCCGUGGGAGGUGAGUUCAUUUGUUGGGGUUUGUAUCAAGCUGGCCAUGAAGGGGUGUGUCUCUCUGUCUCUGUGUGUGAAAUGCUACCCCCUGCUGGAAGAAAUCAGACCUGGUGUAUGCAAGCUCACACAUGCAUUUUGCACGCCGCCCCCUCCCCCUCCCAAAAUUGGUUCACUCUAUGGGUGGGCGAGUGCGUUUGCACCACCGCUCACUACUGUACAUCCUCAGCUCACUAUGUACGUGUGGAUGCGUGUGAUGUGGUGCUAUUUAACCGACCAAAACCAGCUCGCAUCUCCGAUCUGGAACAAAACAUUGGUUCCUCUUAGGUUCAGAGAGAGGGAAGGGAAAACUCUUUCGAUCCAAAAUGGAGCAAAUAAUACGGGACAGGGAUGGGAAAAUAGAGGGGCGAUAAAUCCAGACAGGAUCCCAGGUCAUGCGGUGAUUGGAAAACGAAUUUAUUUUGGCAGUUCUUUGAUAUGUUUUCAAGCAGCGAAAGGAGGGACAUGUCAGUGGGUUUUUUCUUUUUAGUUCAUUUGUCUUUUUAAAAAUGUUUUAGUGCCACACAGACGAAAAGGGGAUGAGGAAGAGACCGGAAGUGGAAACAGGAAAGGGAAGAAGGAAAGAAAAAUGAAGAGGUUAUUUGUCUGUUUCUUAGCAAACACACCACAGAUUACAGGAAAACAGCCCACACUGAAACAAUACACAGCUCAAUACCCCAAAAGGGAAGUUGAGGGACAUCGACAACGUGGUAGGAAUUUUUCUCCCGCAUUUGUUUUGUUUUUUUAGUCCUUUUUAACGUCUUUUUUUUUGUUCGCUUUUGUGUUUUGUUUAAAAAAGAUCAAAAAAUCUAAGUUUGGUUUGUUCUUUUUUUUUUCUUUUUCGGAAGGUAGGCUGGGAAUGCAGACAUGGUGGAAUGGAGGUUGUGUAGGUAGGUAAAGGUGCUGUGAGCGCACACACAGAACACACACUAUAUAUCACAGCUAGACCCUGGGAACAAGCCGCAGCUGAUGUGAAUUGUUAGUAGUGAUAAAUCCACGGAACUAUCGUCAUUUGUACGAACUGUGAAUCUGGCUCUGUGUGUGUGUGUGUCUAGUAUAUUUUAACAUGCUAUACAUAGGCAUAUAGUAUAUUUGUGAUAUAUGUGUGUAUACAUAGUUACACACAUAUAUAGUAUAGCUACUAUAUAUAUGGGAAUGUAGAUAUAUGCUUACACAUAAAAGGACACACAGAGGACAUUUUAUAUAUAUAUGUGUGUGCGCAUAUAUAUGCAUAUAUACAGUAGCUAAACAUCUGUAGUAAAUUUACUAUAUAUGUAUGUGUGUAUUUAUUUAUAUACAACAUAUAUA